CCGGCGAGAAACUCAGUGGACUGUGU
rnacentral:sRNA from 1 species